rnacentral:tRNA from 1 species
ACGGCUAUCAUUGUAUGGUAGAAAUACCUGUAUUCGUACAGAGUGUACGUCGGUUCGAAUCCGACUAGCUGUA